CACUAAAGACCACACGCUCCAUUGAACAUUUAUGGCUGCAAAUGGCUCCUCCGUGCAGGUGAGGACAUGGAAGCACAGGGAGGUUAUGCCACUCGCCCAAAGACAACUAAUCAGUGACAGCUGAGACUUGGAUUGCAGAACCUACACUUUAUAACUAUUUUACAGUUCUGGGCGUCACGGAAUCUUGUAUGAGGAGCCCCUAACCUGGCCCGGGUGGAGGCUCUGCUUCCUCAGUGUCAGCAUCAUUCACAGCAGGCAUGUCCCUCCUGCCUCCAAGAGAGUCACCAGCAGCUUCCUCCUCCACAUCUGUUCUCUCUCUCUCUCUGGCCAUUCACUGUGGGGGAAGUCAGUUCCAUGCCCUGAGUCCAUUCAGGCAGCUUGUGAAGAGGCCCACAUGGCCAAUAGCCAGUGAGGAACUGAGGCCUGCAGUGACCACUUGGAUGAGCUUAGAAGCACGUCCUCCAGCCCCAGUCAAGUCUUGAGGUGAGACCACAGUCCUGGCCAACAGGGAAACCCAGAGCCAUUCAGCUAAGCCACUCUCAGAUUGCUGAUCCCCAGAAGCUGCGUGAGAUAAUAAAUAUUUGUUGUUUUAA
rnacentral:lncRNA from 1 species